rnacentral:rRNA from 1 species
UAGCGUAUAUUAAAGUUGUUGCAGUUAGAACGCUCGUAGUCGGAUUUCGGGGCGGGUCGACCGGUCUGCCGAUGGGUACGCACUGGCCGACGCGUCCUUCCUUCCGGAGACCGUCUCACUCUUAACUGAGCGGAGGCGGGAGACGGAACGUUUACUUUGAAAAAAUCAGAGUGUUUCAAGCAGGCAGCUCGCUCUUGCAUGGAUUAGCAUGGGAUAAUGAAAUAGGACUUUGGUGCUAUUUUGUUGGUUUCGAACACCGAAGUAAUGAUGAGAAGGGACAGUCAGGGGCACUCGUAUUCCACCGAGAGAGGUGAAAUUCUCAGACCAGUGGAAGACGAACCACUGCGAAAGCAUUUG